ACAUAUACAUACAUACAUAUGUAUGUACUUAUUUACCUCAGAGCCGGUAUUGUUAUAACGAUCCAUCCACAUAGCAUGUAUAUAUGUAUAUACGCCUGUGACAUCAUCAACCCACAACAGCACAAUGUCCGCAGAUGACAUACGACCAUCUUUUGAGAACCCGAGUCCAAUAAAACCACGCGUGUUAACAUUAACUUCAAAGCUAAUAGUUUUCUCGUUGAGAUUUAUCCACCAUUGAAGCCAAUAUAAGCCAUUGGAGUCCAUCAUUAUAUGACGCUUCCAGUUUUGAUGAUGCAUUGAACCACCACCGUCGACCACAUUGUAUAUCCUAUUAUUGCCAGCUUCAGAAAAACAAAGACACAACCGUACAUAAAGGAUCCAGAAUGAUAUGAGGAUUGGCAACAUCAUAAUAAUGUAAAAUAAUUUUGAAUUAUAUUAGCUGUCCCAAAAC